UGUUAAAAAAUUUAUCCAUUUGUACUGUUAAAAACUAGCGUGACUACGUGUACCUUAUGUUGAUAUAUAGAGACCAAUUUUUAACAGCAAAAAUGAAUGAAAUUUUUAACA
rfam:Gossypium hirsutum cultivar TM-1 unplaced genomic scaffold scaffold120.1, whole genome shotgun sequence